AGGUGCCCCUGCGGGGGAGAAUAGUGAAGUCGGGUGAGAAUCCCGCGCAGUCCCGCUGCCGUGUUGGGGAGAAUAUGCAAAUGGAUGUCACUGGGAAACUGGGAAGGCUGCAUAUUCCAUGAACCUGAGCCGAAAGAUCUGCCUGGCGUUCA
rnacentral:ncRNA from 1 species